AGUCGAGCGAACGGACGAGAAGCUUGCUUCUCUGAUGUUAGCGGCGGACGGGUGAGUAACACGUGGAUAACCUACCUAUAAGACUGGGAUAACUUCGGGAAACCGGAGCUAAUACCGGAUAAUAUUUUGAACCGCAUGGUUCAAAAGUGAAAGACGGUCUUGCUGUCACUUAUAGAUGGAUCCGCGCUGCAUUAGCUAGUUGGUAAGGUAACGGCUUACCAAGGCAACGAUGCAUAGCCGACCUGAGAGGGUGAUCGGCCACACUGGAACUGAGACACGGUCCAGACUCCUACGGGAGGCAGCAGUAGGGAAUCUUCCGCAAUGGGCGAAAGCCUGACGGAGCAACGCCGCGUGAGUGAUGAAGGUCUUCGGAUCGUAAAACUCUGUUAUUAGGGAAGAACAUAUGUGUAAGUAACUGUGCACAUCUUGACGGUACCUAAUCAGAAAGCCACGGCUAACUACGUGCCAGCAGCCGCGGUAAUACGUAGGUGGCAAGCGUUAUCCGGAAUUAUUGGGCGUAAAGCGCGCGUAGGCGGUUUUUUAAGUCUGAUGUGAAAGCCCACGGCUCAACCGUGG
rnacentral:rRNA from 1 species